AAUAAUUAGUUGCUAAGCCCCAAUUAGCCAAAACCCUAGCAAUGAUUUUACAGAGAGAACGAGAGAGAGUGAAAACUCAGAAAGGAAGAGAGAUGGUGAGAAGCGGAGUUGGGAAGAAGAAAUGGUAUUAAGUACGGAGGAGGACCGACCGUUGAACAGCGUGGAUGGCACGCGCCUAGCAGGAUGUUUUCGGGCGGAGAAAGAAACGGUGAGCAC
rnacentral:misc_RNA from 1 species